rnacentral:rRNA from 1 species
AGUGAACGCUGGCGGCAGGCCUAAUACAUGCAAGUCGAACGGCAGCACAGCAGAGCUUGCUCUGUGGGUGGCGAGUGGCGGACGGGUGAGGAAUACAUGGGAAUCUGCCCAGUCGUGGGGGAUAACGUAGGGAAACUUACGCUAAUACCGCAUGCGCCCUUCGGGGGAAAGCCGGGGACCGUAAGGCCUGGCGCGAUUGGAUGAGCCCAUGUCGGAUUAGCUAGUUGGCGGGGUAAAGGCCCACCAAGGCGACGAUCCGUAGCUGGUCUGAGAGGAUGAUCAGCCACACUGGAACUGAGACACGGUCCAGACUCCUACGGGAGGCAGCAGUAGGGAAUAUUGGACAAUGGGCGCAAGCCUGAUCCAGCCAUGCCGCGUGAGUGAAGAAGGCCCUGGGUUUAAAGUUCUUUUAUAAGGGAGAUGAUGACGGUACCUUAUGAAUAAGCACCGGCAAACUUCGUGCCAGCAGCCGCGGUAAACUAACCGUUA